rnacentral:rRNA from 1 species
GGUGUGUAAGCGCAGCGAUGCGUUGAGCUAACCGAUACUAAUGAACCGUGAGGCUUAACCUUACAACGCCGAAG